GGGCCCACAGGUGAUGUUUAAUGUGUUCAUCUUAACAGCUCAUGUUUAAGUCAGGAAAUGUGACCUGGUGGACCAGGUUCUAAAGUCAUUCCACUGUGGCGACUCCCAGAUGAGUCAUAUCUGUGUACCUGAUGGCAUCAGGGGAGGUCACAGGAAAUGGCUGGCUCUUAGCUGUGGCGUCAAGGUUUGCCGUGGGAACACGUUUUUGGAUUCUAGCUCUGCCACCAGCUAACUUGAAAAUCUUGUUUCUAUGACUUCUGUGCAUCUGUCUUUGCCUAUAAAACAAAGAUAAUCUCUCUCCUGGCCGAUUGUGAGCAUCAAAGAGCGGGCAUUUCACUUCCCUGUCACACAUAGGGAGUGCCCAAUUACCUAACUGUGAGCCUGGACACAACUUUAUGACAUAGACCGUGGGGAUUCUGCUUUGGCCUAGCCAAAGUCACGUGGUGGGAAGCAGAACCAACUUUUGAGGCUAAACACCAUACACUGUCCACUUAAGCCAGAUCCUGGACUAGCCUCCCAGGUUGACCCACUUUUUUUUUAAGGUUUAUGUGUUUUUAUUGGUAAAUCAGAUUUACAGAGAAGAGGAGAGACAGAAAGCUCUUCCAUCUGCUGGGUCACUCCCCAAGUGGCUACAACGGCCAGAGCUGAACCAAUCUGAAGCCAGGAGCUUCUUCUGGGUCUUCCAUGCAGGUGCAGGGUCUCAAGGCUUCGGGCCAUCCUCUUCUGCUUUCCCAGGCUACAAUAGGGAGCUGGAAGGGGAAGUGGAGCAGCCAGGAUACAAACCAGCACACAUAUCGGAUCCUGGCGCAUGCAAGGCAGGAACUGUAGCCACUAGGCUGUCACUUCAGGCCCAAGGUUGACCCAUCUUUACAAUAUGCUUUUCUCCAUGCCACAAACUGGACAGAAGAAGUCCGUGGACUUGCCUCCUUGGUGUCCAGUUGGCCGUGGUCAGUGAGCGGACCUGAGCCAAGAUGCUGUGGAGUCCACUGGCAGAUGCACUCUGGUCUUGGGGACUACAAGGUGCACCAUGGAAAGCAGUGCAGAGGGCAAGAAACAAACGAAGACCCUGGCCACUGCUCCUGCUUCUGCCACGACAAGUCAGCAUAGCUGUGCUUCAUCGCCUACCCAGAAGCCAUCAACACUACUUCUCACAGGCAUUUGGAAAGUCCAUCUCCAAGGAGAGGAGAGCUGUUGCAGGAAAAUCAAACGUCCCAUCAGUACAUCCUGGAAGAUAAUGGAUGAUGACUAGAGCAUUGGGAUCCCUCCCACCCAUGUAGAAGACCCAGAUGCAGUUCUUGGCUCCCGGCUUCCACCUGAUCCAACUCUAGGAAUUGUGGGCUU